UCAACCUAAAGCCUUCAGCUGUUCUCUAAUUUAGAAAGAGGUGUUUGUAUGAGCGGGCAAAGUUUGAAGUUAUUGUUGGGUUGUUUUAGGCAAGCUUUCACAUUGAUUCUGGUGCAACAUAAGGUUAAGGUAACCAUCCUCUGGUACCCAUGCCAUUUUAUAAAGGAGUUUGAGCCCUGAAGCCACAGCUUUCAACGAGGGGAGGGUCUGCACUGCCCCCACUGAGUGGGUCUGAUGUGGACUCUUCUGUCUUGGUGCCAGUGCAGUGAAUUUUCUGAGACCUGAUACUGAGACAUGGAAAGCUCUCUUUCCCGUUUCCCUCAUCUACACAAGCUGUGACUUAAAGAGCAGAAAAAGCAGUGAGCCUGACUGCUUCUUCUAGGAUGCUCGGAUAGCUAAGUUAGCUUAGAGCUGGGCUCAUCUCUCAGGCCUGCUGCAAGCUUUUGGGACUCUCUCUGCCUUUGCUUCCACGUGGAGAAAAACAUCACUUCUGUAACUCGCGGGAGUGCUGCAGGAAUAAAUUCACUGAAGCUUAUGACCCUGUGUUGGUGAUAAUUGUGGGAGCACACAGGCGCACAGGGAUGAGCUGCCUCUGUCUAGUACUGGAGCACUUGGGAUCAAAGCUUCCCUUACGCAGCCUGAUGCCUGAGCCUGUUCAACAAAGCGUGAGGAUGGUUUCUGGCUCAUCUGUUCAUUCAAGCUUUUAAUUAGUUACCAGCUAUCCUCAUGGUGAGGAGUUGACGCCUGAUGUUAUUGAGGUACUUAUUCAAGCGUUCAUGUUUAUGCAAACGAAUUCUUUUUAUAUCGGUUUUUGGGCAGUCAUAAGCCGUGGUAAGGAAAUAAAUGACAUGUAAAGAAGAAAUGUGACCCAUUGAUCAAAGAUGCGCUGGCCCACCAGUGAACAGUCUAUCUGGGCUGUGAAAUGGCUGGUCCCCAGAGAGGCCCAUUCAAAAAAGAACUGAUGCUUGCAUUUUCCAGCAUCUAUAUGCAGAAUCCCAAGUGGUUAUACAACACGCACACAUGACUUGAGCUGCAAACACACAUUGCUGCAGUCCUUACACUGGUCCUGUUUUUGAGUUAGUGUAAAAGCUUUCCUGGAUGGGUAUGCACACUGCUUGACUACUUGCAAAGAACUGGGCCGUUAGCCCAUAGACAGGGGAGGGUAUGUCACACUACAUAGGAAAACAGGUCCUUAGCAAAACCACGGGACACAGAAGCACUCAGCAGCUUCUUACCUGCUCCCCACUGCAGUGAUUCUGUAGCUGCCAUUGCUGCACAUCCAUAUAAGAGGACAGGGCAAGACCAAAUAAGCUCAAACCAGUCUCUAAGAUGUAAUCAAAGAAUGUAUUUUAACUGGAGAGUUCAGACAGAGAUAAGGGGCAUGUGAGAUGAUCUAUUUUUCCCUUUAAACUUGUCGCGUGCAAGGGAGCAGAUCUUCCCAUAAUGUAAAUCAGCAUAGCUCCACUGUCUGGAGGGAACAAUUGUAAUUUAUCCUGCCUGAAGGCCUGCACAGAAGGUGCUUGAGGUUUCUCGCAAUUCAUUGGAGACUUGUGACAUUGAGAGCAGGCAUUUGAGCUCCACUGUCUUCUGGAGCGAUUUGCAGCGCAGGCGACUUAUAAUUACAAACGCUUGAUAAAUCUUCAGAGAAACUGGGGAGUUUGGUAGGAUGCUUGAGUCAGUCGUGACAAAUUUCACUUCCUGUAAGAAAGCUGUGUUUCUGCAAUUUUGGUCUCAGCACAAAAGCAUCGCUCAGCAAUACUGUGGAAGAGGUUCUGAGGGUUCAGCCAAGCUUUAAAAUAUUUCCAGGAUCUUCUUUGUCUUGUGGAGAUCAGUGGGUUCCUUUCCUGCCAAGCUGAAAAGCCUGGGGGAAACAAAAGGAACCUAUUUCAUGCCAUUUUUGUGAGAACAAUACCUCUCCCCGACACCUUAUGCAGCUGGUAAAUACCAUUCCUUUAUCAGGUACCUAAUCUUUUUUAGCAAUGUUCAACCACCUACACCUGACCACCAACUUUCCACUCUGUUUGCCUUGGCUGACAUUUAUAUAACAAAGAGCUGCUAACUGUUCUUUUAUCUGCACAAGAAGGUCGAGCACAGGAGGAGACAAAUAUGAUGGGCACCAUACGGCAGCGCAGAGCUGCACUGCUCUCUGUAUAUCCAGACUCUCUAAUAGCUAUAUUGAGCCAUUGCUCAGAAAAAAAUGCUGCUGGUUGCCUGGAAUGA